rnacentral:rRNA from 1 species
GGUAGUCCACGCCGUAAACGAUGAGUGCUAAGUGUUAGAGGGUUUCCGCCCUUUAGUGCUGAAGUUAACGCAUUAAGCACUCCGCCUGGGGAGUACGGCCGCAAGGGUGAAACUCAAAGGAAUUGACGGGGGCCCGCACAAGCGGUGGAGCAUGUGGUUUAAUUCGAAGCAACGCGAAGAACCUUACCAGGGCUUGACAUCCUCUGACAACCCUAGAAAUGAGGAUUCGCCUUCGGGAGCACAAUGACAGGUGGUGCAUGGUUGUCGUCAGCUCGUGUCGUGAGAUGUUGGGUUAAGUCCCGCAACGAGCGCAACCCUUGAUCUUAGUUGCCAUCAUUAAGUUGGGCACUCUAAAGUGACUGCCGGUGACAAACCGGAGGAAGGUGGGGAUGACGUCAAAUCAUCAUGCCCCUUAUGACCUGGGCUACACACGUGCUACAAUGGACGG